AUCCGAACCUUGCUUACGGCGAUGGGAGUGGUUCGAGCGAGGUUCCUAUUCCGGAUUUCGAUGAUUUCUUUGCUGAUCUGCCACCGGGUUUCGAUGCUCCUCCUCCUACGAAAGAAUCGGCGAGGCCGAGAGUCGUUGAGGAAGGAUCACGCAUCAUUAAUGGGGUUAGUUUUUUGAGAAUUUUUUGGUGAUUGUCCUAUGUAUAUAUAUAUUUAUAGCAUGUCAAUCGAUUUUUGCAGGGCCUGAGCUUGCUGGGCUCGGCCAUUGAGG
rnacentral:lncRNA from 1 species